rnacentral:rRNA from 1 species
CAUGCAAGUCGAACGAUGAAGCCCAGCUUGCUGGGUGGAUUAGUGGCGAACGGGUGAGUAACACGUGAGUAACCUGCCCUUAACUCUGGGAUAAGCCUGGGAAACUGGGUCUAAUACCGGAUAGGAGCGUCUACCGCAUGGUGGGUGUUGGAAAGAUUUAUCGGUUUUGGAUGGACUCGCGGCCUAUCAGCUUGUUGGUGAGGUAAUGGCUCACCAAGGCGACGACGGGUAGCCGGCCUGAGAGGGUGACCGGCCACACUGGGACUGAGACACGGCCCAGACUCCUACGGGAGGCAGCAGUGGGGAAUAUUGCACAAUGGGCGCAAGCCUGAUGCAGCGACGCCGCGUGAGGGAUGACGGCCUUCGGGUUGUAAACCUCUUUCAGUAGGGAAGAAGCGAAAGUGACGGUACCUGCAGAAGAAGCACCGGCUAACUACGUGCCAGCAGCCGCGGUAAUACGUAGGGUGCGAGCGUUAUCCGGAAUUAUUGGGCGUAAAGAGCUCGUAGGCGGUUUGUCGCGUCUGUCGUGAAAGUCCGGGGCUUAACCCCGGAUCUGCGGUGGGUACGGGCAGACUAGAGUGCAGUAGGGGAGACUGGAAUUCCUGGUGUAGCGGUGGAAUGCGCAGAUAUCAGGAGGAACACCGAUGGCGAAGGCAGGUCUCUGGGCUGUAACUGACGCUGAGGAGCGAAAGCAUGGGGAGCGAACAGGAUUAGAUACCCUGGUAGUCCAUGCCGUAAACGUUGGGCACUAGGUGUGG